AGAAUUUUGUGUAGCUAAAACCUUUAUUACAUCCAUUAAAAUACUUGGUUGUUCUGGAAGUUGGAUUAGCAGUAGUUUCUAGGAAAUGCAGAUCUUACAAAUGGGUCUGUCUGAGGAUUGAAGUCUGGCAAAAGUGAACAGUUAUUGUGGAAGAGCAAGUUCAAUUAUCAGUGUGGAAGAGAAUCUCUAAACCAAAAUCAUCCAAAGAUAAGGGAUUGGUACUGUUGUAAGUGAUUUUUUUCUGCAGACUAAACAUCAUUAUUCAUGAUCACUUUAAGAAUGGUUUUCUUUGGAGGGAAUGGAAACCGUUUCUCAGAAAUGGUCCAGAUUGUAAGAGUUAUGCAAGAUAAUGAAAUUUUGUGCCAAUGCUGCUUUCCUGUUUUCCCCUGUGAUUUCUGCAGAAAAUAACUGUUGAUAUACAUCUUUAAAGAUUGGGCUGGUUUGAAAGUUGCUUUGGAAGCAGUUUGUAGAAAUGAAGCUGAUCCUAAGAAUUGGGAAAGCUUGGAUGAUCCUGUCACAUCAAAGGCAUUGUAUUAAGAUUGGAAACCUGAAAAAGGAAGCUCUGGGAAGAAGUGAAGCCAUAGAAGACUGGAGAACAAGAAAUAGCCGAUGCUGCUAGUGGACAGAGGUCCAGUUGAUCAUCUGGAGGGUAAUGCUGAUUUUGUCUUCAGUGUGAAAAUAAGUAAUUCCAGUGAGCAAGUUCAUUUAGCAUGAAAGGCAGUUUUAUGCACAUGAUAGUUUGAAAUGAAAGCUGUGGGUCUGCUUUUGGAGUAAAUGAAAAGCACCAUUUUUAGUGAAAAGAGGAAGGAAGGACCUGCAAUGGAUUUGAGCAAAAGAUUUAUUGGGAGAGCAGGCUGGCAGUUGGUGGGAUUUUUGCAGCCUCUAAACAAACCUAAUUCUCUUGAUGUGAUACUUGUUGCAUUGCUCUGUGGACAGAAGGAAAGCAUAUAUUGGUUAGAGGAGUGGAAGUGAGCAUGGGAAAUUUCAGCAGAGAAACUGGCAGUUAGUAUAAAGAGAGGGCACUAAAAGAUGAGAUAGAGGAAGCAAUGCAUUGUCCUCUCAACUAGAGGACUAUCCAUGCUAAUAAGGCAUAGUUAGAUGAUCUUAUUUUUCGUCAACUGACAUUAAAAGAAGUGAAUAUCUGACAGUGUUAUAUAUAGCAUAUAGUGUGAAACUUUUAUUGACAUAAAUAACCAUUCUUUUAUUUUCAGGUGACUGAUCGGCAGCUCUGUACUUGUCAUCUUACUCCUGCACAAAAUUAUUAAAUUUCUUUAGAUUUGUGGUAAAGUAACAUUGUAAAUGGCUAGAAUUUUAUUUAGGUAAUUCAUGAUACAGCUGUUGUAAGAAAAUGUGAACUAAAGAAUGUAAUAUACUGUGGAAUGUAGAAUAAAUGAACCCCAAUGAA